AUCCUGAGGUAGUUGGUGGAAGGAUGGUCUAAACCGUUGGUUUUCGACCACUACGACCCGGGUUCGAUUCCCGCAUUGGACA